GUGCCCGCUUCGGCAGCACAUACACUAAAACUAGAACAGCACGGAGAUUAGCACAGCCCCUAUGCAAGCGUGACACGCAAACUCGUGAAGCAUCUGACAUUUAC
ensembl:snRNA U6 U6 spliceosomal RNA